rnacentral:rRNA from 1 species
UACGUAGGGGGCAAGCGUUGUCCGGAAUCAUUGGGCGUAAAGAGCGCGUAGGCGGCCCUGUAAGUCCGCUGUGAAAGUCGGGGGCUCAACCCUCGAAUGCCGGUGGAUACUGUCGGGCUAGAGUGCGGGAGAGGCGAGUGGAAUUCCUGGUGUAGCGGUGGAAUGCGCAGAUAUCAGGAGGAACACCAACGGCGAAGGCAGCUCGCUGGGACGGUACUGACGCUAAGGCGCGAAAGCGUGGGGAGCGAACAGG